rnacentral:rRNA from 1 species
GACGAACGCUGGCGGCGUGCUUAACACAUGCAAGUCGAGCGGUAAGGCCCUUUCGGGGGCACACGAGCGGCGAACGGGUGAGUAACACGUGGGUGACCUGCCUCUAGCUCUGGGAUAAGCCUGGGAAGCUGGGUCUAAUACCGGAUAUGACCUCGCGGUGCAUGUUGCGGGGUGGAAAGCCUUGUGCGGCUAGGGAUGGGCCCGCGGCCUAUCAGCUUGUUGGUGGGGUGAUGGCCUACCAAGGCGGCGACGGGUAGCCGGCCUGAGAGGGCGACCGGCCACACUGGGACUGAGACACGGCCCAGACUCCUACGGGAGGCAGCAGUGGGGAAUCUUGCGCAAUGGGCGAAAGCCUGACGCAGCGACGCCGCGUGAGGGAUGACGGCCUCGG